ensembl:lncRNA
GGGUUACAGGGGCUGGAGGAGGGGAAGAGGAAGUGAGGUCGGAGGGGAGGGAGGGAGCGGCCCCGCGCGGAGACCGGGCUGCGGCGCCCGCGCCUGGAAGCUGGAAGCUGGAAGCUGGAAGCUGAAAGCAGCCACCGGCAGGUGCGCCGGAGGAGGCCGCUAGGCGGUUCUUGGGGACACAGAAGGACGAAAGGGCAGAACAUAAUGUGGAGUUAGGUGGAGAUUAGGACAAGAUGGUGGGACCUGGAACAACGGUUCUCAGAUGUGGUCCGCGGAUCCUGGAGGAGGAGGGGCGCGAGUAUCCGCGAGCUCAAAACUAUUUUCGUAAUGAUCCUAAGGCCGAACCAUGAGCCUUUCUCACCGUAUUGACAUUUGCACGAGUGGUGCAAAAGCAACAGUGCGGGAAACGGCGGCUUAGCGUGAAUGAGGACAGAGGCACCAACUAGACCGGCUGGAUUUUCUUCAUAUACUUCAACCAAAAUAACCUUCAGCAGCAAACUGAAUGCAGAAGCAAGCGCGAGAAUCCAGCUACUGCCAGACACAGCCCAAAAGGUGACCUUUUCCUUCCCUGGAUCUUGGCUGUUUAUCAUUCUGAUCUGCCAGCACCUCCCCCCGUUCAGGAUAGACUAUCACAGGACUUCCUGGGACGUGCACAGAGGGCAUCCUGGCCAGCCGCUUGCCGGAACUCAUGUCAGAUGCCUGCAAGGUCAUCCAGAUGGCCGGAAGGUGAACAGCAGCCCUGGGAAGGAGCUGCCUGCUCCUUGCCUCUCAGCCCCAUGACAUCUGUAUUUUGGAGUUUGGAGUGCCCUUGGCACACAGACCCCACCAGUCCACUGCCCUCAUGAGUUUCAAAACCUGGAUCCACGCUACCACUUCUCAGUUUAACCUCACGUCUCUCCAUUGCUUCUCUGCGCCUGCCAAUAGCAGAGAGAGUCCUAACAGACUACAUGCACUGGGCGCUCGCUCUAGAAUUAUCCCCCUUAAGCCUCAUAACAACCCUAUGAACUUGUUGCGUACUGCUGAAUGUUCUCAGCACCAACGCGGUUGUGGAAGCCACGGGUCUGAAAAGAUUGCUCCAGGAGACAGUGUGCUGUGAGGAUGGAGGCGGGGAGAGGAGGAAUCGCUGAUGAGAUCCUGGGGGACACUGACGCCUAAGGGGCUCUGAGGAAGAGGAGACCCAGAAGGGCCGGCACAGAAAGUGCCAGAUGUCCAGGGGAUGGUCUGCAGGGGGGAAGCUACAAAGUGGACGACAGGAGGUGACGCUUUCUCCAGGUUCUAAGGACAGCACAUCAUGGCCACCCAAUAAAAGGUGCACGAGGUGUCUCUGGAUUUCUUUCCACCAUAUAGGUUACAAGAUGCAGUCAGCUGUCUGCAACCUGGAAGAAGGUUCUCACCAGGGCCAGCCCUGGUGGCCUAGUGGUUAAGUUCAGCAUGUUCUGCUUUGGCAGCAGGGGUUUGGUUCCCCACCGAAGACCUACACCACUUGUCUGUCAACGGCCAUGCUGUGGCGGCGACUCACAUCGAAAAAGAGGAAGACUGGCAACAGAUGUUAGCUGAGGGCAAAUCUCCCUCAGGAAAAAAAAAAAAAAGAGGGCUCUCACUAAACACAGAAUCAGUCAGUGCCUUGAUCUUGGAAUUCCCAGCCUCCAGAGCCAUGAGAAAUAAAUGUUUGUUGUUUAAGCCGUUCAUUCUACUGUAAUUUGUGACAGCAGCCCGAGCUAACAGAAAAAACGCACCUAGUGACUCCACGCACAGAAUGAGGAAGUUAGUUGUUUUGCCCAGAACAGAGCAGGACUUUCAGCUCUAGGUCAGUGAUUUUUCCACUGCAGCACGGGACGUACCACAAGGUACCAUGGCCUCCUGAGGUCUCCGUUUACUUGAUCAAACAGAAAAUACGUCCUUGGAAUUGGACUCAGCGCAG